GGCUUUGAAGCGGUGACGCCAGUCAUCGUGGAGCCUCCCUUGAGAUACCACCCUUCGCACUCUUGAUGUCUAACCGCGGUCCGUUAUCCGGAUCCGGGACCCUGCGUGGCGGGUAGUUUGACUGGGGCGGUCGCCUCCCAAAGAGUAACGGAGGCGCGCGAUGGUGGGCUCAGGUUGGUCGGAAAUCAACCGUCGAGUGUAAUGGCAUAAGCCCGCCUGACUGCGAGACUGACACGUCGAGCAGAGACGAAAGUCGGCCAUAGUGAUCCGGUGGUCCCGAGUGGAAGGGCCAUCGCUCAACGGAUAAAAGGUACGCCGGGG
rnacentral:rRNA from 1 species